rnacentral:rRNA from 1 species
UUUGAUCCUGGCUCAGGACGAACGCUGGCGGCGUGCUUAACACAUGCAAGUCGAACGAUGAAGCCUUUCGGGGUGGAUUAGUGGCGAACGGGUGAGUAACACGUGGGCAAUCUGCCCUUCACUCUGGGACAAGCCCUGGAAACGGGGUCUAAUACCGGAUAACACUCUGUCCCGCAUGGGACGGGGUUAAAAGCUCCGGCGGUGAAGGAUGAGCCCGCGGCCUAUCAGCUUGUUGGUGGGGUGAUGGCCUACCAAGGCGACGACGGGUAGCCGGCCUGAGAGGGCGACCGGCCACACUGGGACUGAGACACGGCCCAGACUCCUACGGGAGGCAGCAGUGGGGAAUAUUGCACAAUGGGCGAAAGCCUGAUGCAGCGACGCCGCGUGAGGGAUGACGGCCUUCGGGUUGUAAACCUCUUUCAGCAGGGAAGAAGCGAGAGUGACGGUACCUGCAGAAGAAGCGCCGGCUAACUACGUGCCAGCAGCCGCGGUAAUACGUAGGGCGCAAGCGUUGUCCGGAAUUAUUGGGCGUAAAGAGCUCGUAGGCGGCUUGUUGCGUCGGUUGUGAAAGCCCGGGGCUUAACCCCGGGUCUGCAGUCGAUACGGGCAGGCUAGAGUGUGGUAGGGGAGAUCGGAAUUCCUGGUGUAGCGGUGAAAUGCGCAGAUAUCAGGAGGAACACCGGUGGCGAAGGCGGAUCUCUGGGCCAUUACUGACGCUGAGGAGCGAAAGCGUGGGGAGCGAACAGGAUUAGAUACCCUGGUAGUCCACGCCGUAAACGUUGGGAACUAGGUGUUGGCGACAUUCCACGUCGUCGGUGCCGCA